rnacentral:lncRNA from 1 species
CACACUUUUAAAAAUAUAUUGUAAAAAUAGUAUUACAGUUGAAAUAUCAUAUCAUAAAAUUCCCAAUACAACACUCUUUUGUUUGUCACAAGUUCUUAAUAUUUCAUGAAAAUAAAGCAAUUUAAUUAACUUUUUUAAUGUAUUUGUAAAUACAGUUGAAUUUUUACGAUUUGACAGACAUAUAUAUUGAUGUAGAUAAUAUCUCUGAUUCUGUUCAUUUCUUUUAUUUAUAACAACAAUUUCGUACUGAGAGCCAAGCACCUACCUUCGAACAGCCACGCUUUGGGUAAAAGAUUGAUGAAACUACAAAUAGCUGGGUUUCACCGAGCGAGCUCUAUAUAUUAUCUGGACCAAGAACGCCAGUCAUUCUGCCUAUGAAUGGACCAUUCCCCAUUGAACUAUAAAUAAACUGGAAGGCUAACUGCUAUGAUGAAGGCCUAUGAUUUGAUGAAGCCAAAAUAGUUUUUCUGAGUUAUGAGCAGAAAUACUUGACCCCAAACGUCGGGCUAUAUAUCAAAUUGAAGCUAUUGAAAAUUGCUAUUCGGUGUGGAAAUUUCAAGACUUCAG